UUGCGUUAGGGGUAGAAGUGAAAAUCCUUUUCAAGCCAUUUGCACCAUAUUAUGUGCUUGAAAAGAUUGUAACGGAUAGCCUGACUGCAA
rnacentral:sRNA from 1 species